GACGAACGCUGGCGGCGUGCCUAAUACAUGCAGGUAGAACGCUGAAGAGAGGAGCUUGCUCUUCUUGGAUGAGUUGCGAACGGGUGAGUAACGCGUAGGUAACCUGCCUUGUAGCGGGGGAUAACUAUUGGAAACGAUAGCUAAUACCGCAUAACAAUGGAUGACACAUGUCAUUUAUUUGAAAGGGGCAAUUGCUCCACUACAAGAUGGACCUGCGUUGUAUUAGCUAGUAGGUGAGGUAAUGGCUCACCUAGGCGACGGUACAUAGCCGACCUGAGAGGGUGAUCAGCCACACUGAGACUGAGACACGGCCCAGACGCCUACGGAAGGCAGCAAGAGGGAAUCUUCGGCAAUGGGGGCAGCCCUGACCGAGCAGCGCCGCGUGAGUGAAGAGGGUUUUCGGGUCGGAAAGCUCUGUUGUAAGUCAAGAACGGGUGUGAGAGUGGAAAGUUCACACUGUGACGGUAGCUGACCAGAAAGGGACGGCUAACUACGUG
rnacentral:rRNA from 1 species